rnacentral:misc_RNA from 1 species
GUGAAUUUGUUUUGUGGUUGGGUAUCUUGCUAAAUUUUUUACAAGUUAUCCACCCAAACACCCCCACUAUUAUCACGCCGGCUAGGGGGGAGAGAAAUCUCCUUUUGGUCGAGAGCUUAGUAAGCUCGGAAAUUUGGGAGGUUAGGGAACUCUGUUCUAUAACCUUCCUUUUUUAGAACCAUAUAGUCAUGUAUGUUAAGUAGUAUUCUUAAAACAAAUA